CUGUGGAUAGUGCUGAAAACAAAUACUUCAUAUCUGAAUUCCUCGAUCUUUAUGCAACUUUGCCAUUUUACUUCUGAUAAUGGGAGAACAAUUGAAAGACAUUGCUGUAGUUCUUCUCGUGUUUGUCUGUUUGCUUGUCUCUUGCUGCUAGAAUUGCAAUCUGUAUUCCAAGAUCUGCAGCUUCAUGAAAAAUGCCAGCUGGAUUUCACAGAUGCAGUGUUUGUGGGUGUACAUGAUGCUGUGCCUCCAAGGGCCUUCAAAAGGCACCUGCACAGAGGGCGUCAGCUUUCAGCGGGCAGCCAACC